CUGAGGCGUGAAAGAGAAGAAGACAGGCAAGAUCUGGGGAAGGAACAUCCAGGCAGAGCGGACAGGCUGUCCAAGAGGGCGUCCAAGGAGCAGAAGUAAGGCUUGUGAGUUGGUUCACGGGAAGGAGUUUGUUUAAAAUCUGUAUGAGCAACUUGAGAAGAUAAUUUCGGCUUUGCUACUUGCAUUCUUCCUAUUGCCCACCAGAGGGCACUCAAGCACCCGCCAGGCGGAGUUCCCUAACCCGUGGAUUCCUCAACCGCACCCAGCAUCUUCCCAGGCUGGAGCUGAGUUAGAACAAGGGAAAGUUGACCCGCUAAGUGUCUUCUGAAAGGGCCAUCUAAAUGGUGUCAAGAGAAGCCGCCGCCUGUGACUGAGAAAAAUACAAAUGACACUCAUGCGAGCCCAGUAGGAUGUACAGCCACUGCCUCUCUGCGGUCACGUUUGCUGUGUUAUUCACAUUCCCAGAGGAAAAAGCUGUGUGCCUGGCUUUAGCAUUCUUUCCAGCAGUCUUUAUUUCCUCUUCUCGGGCACAUUAGGGAAUGUUUUGUACCUUGUCACA
rnacentral:lncRNA from 1 species